CAUUACCUAGAGUUGUAGGCUUUGCCUGCUAUCUCUUACCCAUGUCUUUUGAGUACCUUACGUUUCCUCGGCGGGUCCGCCCGCCGAUUGGACAAUUUAAACCAUUUGCAGUUGCAAUCAGCGUCUGAAAAAACUUAAUAGUUACAACUUUCAACAACGGAUCUCUUGGUUCUGGCAUCGAUGAAGAACGCAGCGAAAUGCGAUAAGUAGUGUGAAUUGCAGAAUUCAGUGAAUCAUCGAAUCUUUGAACGCACAUUGCGCCCCUUGGUAUUCCAUGGGGCAUGCCUGUUCGAGCGUCAUUUGUACCUUCAAGCUCUGCUUGGUGUUGGGUGUUUGUCUCGCCUCUGCGUGUAGACUCGCCUCAAAACAAUUGGCAGCCGGCGUAUUGAUUUCGGAGCGCAGUACAUCUCGCGCUUUGCACUCAUAACGACGACGUCCAAAAGUACAUUUUUACACUCUUGACCUCGGAUCAGGUAGGGAUACCCGCUGAACUUAAGCAUAUCAAUA
rnacentral:rRNA from 1 species